GCCAUCUUGGCUCCUCCCUCCAGAAAGGCAAUACUGAACUCAUAGAAUGAAUUGGGAAGUACUUCCCCUGUGUCUAUCUUCUGGAAGAGACUGUAAAAGAUACAUUCCCAUUGAGGCACGAAAAUGGAUCUAGCCACAGCUCUGAUGAUAUUGCUUUGCCUUUAACAGUACCUCCCAUUAGUCUCUUGCACCAAGAUGCACAUUUUUCAGUUUACAUAGUGGAUUUCAUCAUUCUACUAGAAAGCCUCCACUUUGUUUCUGAUUCAGUUUCAGUUUCCAAACCAGGUGCUUUGUCCCUCACUGACUGUUUUGGAUGACCUCUAGUUUUUCCCCAAGGUUCUAAAUUUAGUUUGGCUUUUAUUUGGCCAUCAUUUUAAUUCCCACUUUUUGUUUUGGUGCUGUUGAUUGUACAAUCCAACCAUCUCUACCUUUCAAUAUUUGCAGGUUUCUUUUUUCCUGUUUGUCUUGAACAUUCUGAUUUUUCCUAACCUUUGAGUCACCUGCCUCUGUUUUACCAUGUCAUUGAAUUAUGGUUUAGUCAAGUGGAAAGACAAGCUCCUGUCACUGCCUAUAGCACUGCCUAGUUUCCUUCCAAUUAUCAAUAAAAUUCUUUGUUAUUAGGUUUCUUCUGUUCCACUAUAAGCUCAAGUAAUUCACAACAAUAAAACAAGACAAAAAUAAUUAACAUUCACGAGAAUAAAGAGCAGCCAUUAAAUCAUGAAGUUAUCAGGGUAAGUAUGCCUUUGAGAUGGUCUGUGCCUCUCUGACCUUCUGUUCUGGAACUGAUGUACCCAAUCAGUCAAUUUUACUGAUGUACAACAAAUUAUGUUCUAUAUAUUUUUUCAAACCAUUGAUGAAAUUUGAACACUGAGGCUACCAACUUCUCUCUCUGUACUUUUUGCUUAAACUGG
rnacentral:lncRNA from 10 species